GAACGUUGAAGACGACGACGUUGAUAGGCCGGGUGUGUAAGCGCAGCGAUGCGUUGAGCUAACCGGUACUAAUGAACCGUGAGGCUUAACCUU
rnacentral:rRNA from 13 species